rnacentral:rRNA from 1 species
UACGUAGGGGGCAAGCGUUGUCCGGAUUUAUUGGGCGUAAAGAGCGUGUAGGCGGCUUUACAGGUCCGUUGUGAAAACUCGAGGCUCAACCUCGAGACGCCGGUGGAAACCGUAAAGCUAGAGUCCGGAAGAGGAGAGUGGAAUUCCUGGUGUAGCGGUGAAAUGCGCAGAUAUCAGGAAGAACACCCGUGGCGAAGGCGGCUUUCUGGGACGGUACUGACGCUGAGACGCGAAAGCGUGGGGAGCGAACAGG